rnacentral:rRNA from 1 species
CCUACGGGGGGCAGCAGUGGGGAAUAUUGGACAAUGGGGGCAACCCUGAUCCAGCCAUGCCGCGUGUGUGAAGAAGGCCCUCGGGUUGUAAAGCACUUUCAGUGAGGAAGAACGCCUGGUGGUUAAUACCCAUCAGGAAAGACAUCACUCACAGAAGAAGCACCGGCUAAAUCCGUGCCAGCAGCCGCGGUAAUACGGAGGGUGCGAGCGUUAAUCGGAAUUACUGGGCGUAAAGCGCGCGUAGGUGGCUUGAUAAGCCGGUUGUGAAAGCCCCGGGCUCAACCUGGGAACGGCAUCCGGAACUGUCAAGCUAGAGUGCAGGAGAGGAAGGUAGAAUUCCCGGUGUAGCGGUGAAAUGCGUAGAGAUCGGGAGGAAUACCAGUGGCGAAGGCGGCCUUCUGGACUGAAACUGACACUGAGGUGCGAAAGCGUGGGUAGCAAACAGGAUUAGAUACCCUAGUAGUC